GAUGAACGCUGGCGGCGUGCCUAAUACAUGCAAGUCGAGCGAACGGACGAGAAGCUUGCUUCUCUGAUGUUAGCGGCGGACGGGUGAGUAACACGUGGAUAACCUACCUAUAAGACUGGGAUAACUUCGGGAAACCGUAGCUAAUACCGGAUAAUAUUUUGAACCGCAUGGUUCAAAAGUGAAAGACGGUCUUCUGUCACUUAUAGAUGGAUCCGCGCUGCAUUAGCUAGUUGGUAAGGUAACGGCUUACCAAGGCAACGAUGCAUAGCCGACCUGAGAGGGUGAUCGGCCACACUGGAACUGAGACACGGUCCAGACUCCUACGGGAGGCAGCAGUAGGGAAUCUUCCGCAAUGGGCGAAAGCCUGACGGAGCAACGCCGCGUGAGUGAUGAAGGUCUUCGGAUCGUAAAACUCUGUUAUUAGGGAAGAACAUAUGUGUAAGUAACUGUGCACAUCUUGACGGUACCUAAUCAGAAAGCCACGGCUAACUACGUG
rnacentral:rRNA from 1 species